GAAUCAUGUGACGAGAAAAAAACUGCAACAAUAUGAUGGAUUAUUUCAUGAUUCUUAUGUAUUUAAGUCUCUGGUGAUC
rnacentral:snoRNA from 1 species